rnacentral:rRNA from 1 species
GACGAACGCUGGCGGCGUGCUUAACACAUGCAAAUCGAAGGGUAAGGCCCUUCGGGGUACACGAGUGGCGAACGGGUGAGUAACACGUGGGUGAUCUGCCCUGCACUUCGGGAUAAGCCUGGGAAACUGGGUCUAAUACCGGAUAGGACCACUGCCUGCAUGGGUGGUGGUGGAAAGCUUUUGCGGUGUGGGAUGGGCCCGCGGCCUAUCAGCUUGUUGGUGGGGUGAUGGCCUACCAAGGCGACGACGGGUAGCCGGCCUGAGAGGGUGACCGGCCACACUGGGACUGAGAUACGGCCCAGACUCCUACGGGAGGCAGCAGUGGGGAAUAUUGCACAAUGGGCGCAAGCCUGAUGCAGCGACGCCGCGUGAGGGAUGACGGCCUUCGGGUUGUAAACCUCUUUCAGCACCGACGAAGCGCAAGUGACGGUAGGUGCAGAAGAAGGACCGGCUAACUACGUGCCAGCCGCCGCGGUAA